UAAGCUCUCUUGCCAUUUUGGCUAAGAUAAAUUGCAGUAGCAGUUCUUUUUAGUUUAAUCUCUAAAACGCCCCUACGGGGGCAUUUUUCUUGAUUAAUCUAGUUUUUGGAAACUGGCCGGUGGCCUCUGGGCGCCGCCUAUCUUGUCACUGGUCACAGUGUCGCCUCUAUUGCACUGUCUGGGGCUGAUGCGAAUUCCA
rnacentral:snRNA from 1 species